CGUUCAAUGCACAGUUUUACACAGGAUGCGUAAAUAGCACGACGCGUGUACAUAUAUCAGAUUUCCGAGCGAUAGCUGGGUGUCAGGAGGCAAUGCACAACCUCAUGAAAGACACUCAUUCCUACAGUUGUGCGACCUACGUACGUUCACGGGGCUCCCCAACGAGACGCAUACGCAAACGAGGUCGGUGCUACCAUUUGCCAUGCAAAGGACCCUUGACACGGCUCCUCGCCAGCAGCUCUUGACACCGCGCAACUAUGUAAUGACAUCAUACGCCGCCAACAACUAACUAUACGGGCAACCAAGCACCCCUUUUCUUCUCGACAGGAAAUUGCGCUCGCCAGCAGGGGAAGGCCGCCCCCUGGCAUUGGCGCCACUACCAGUGCACAACAGGCAACAGAAACAAGCGACACCAGGGGUGACCGAUGUCGACACCUUUAUUCUGUCUAGAUAAGCACAACGAUGGCAACACGCAAAAAGGCUGCUCUCUGCCGUUCAACAGCACGUGAUUGCCUGUUCCAUAUUGUACAGUAACGGAUAAAUGGAAAUGCUAAAAUAAGAGCCAGCAAUACGCCGCCAAUAUGAGCAAUAGGUAACAACAGAGCUGCGACGUGCGCGAUCCUGCAACAUAUGUCCCUGUUUUCCAAUGUUCCGCGCACAGUUGCACGGUCUGGCUUAGGCAGGCAGGCUUAGCUUGGCACCGGGGGCUGAAGACCGCCACUCCAGGCACUCGUUCAGCUUGCGCGCCAUGACAGGUCCC
rnacentral:lncRNA from 1 species